rnacentral:sRNA from 1 species
AUUAUUAAACAAUCACACAGUCGAUAUUAAAUUACAUUACAAAUCUAUCUAUAUAUACAUUUUUGCAGCCAUUUUAGCAAAUAAAUCUUAGAGUUGAACUUAUUUACAAUCCAAUGCCAUUAGCAUUAAAUCUUUUUUUCAAAAUAAUUAAUUUUACUUUAAAUUCUUAAUUUAAAUUGUCAAUUACAUUAUCAAUAAAAUUUAAUCCAGACAAACUUCACAUCAAUCCCUUAAAAUUAGCAUAAACGUAUUUUGUUAACAA